UUUGCAGUUUUGAAUGACAUGAGUGUGAAGUGAGAAAUGAGGAAAUCAGCUGAUCCGAGGCAAAGUUGCAUGCCUGAGUUAUCAAUGAACUAUUCCCAAAUUUCGGUGAAAAAACUGGAGUUAAAUCUAGGGUUAAAGUUCAGGUCCAUUUUGUACAAGUGGGUACAUGUACAUAUGCAUUUCACAUCUUUUUCAAGAGAACAGUGCAAGUUUACAUGUAUUUCUACACUGUACUGUGCAUGUGUAUCCGCACAACAAAGUACAUGUACAUAUAGGUCUCGUACUGGCGGUCUGGGUUUGUUUCCUCCAAGAAAUUACAGUCCUGCUUAUUAGACACAGGAAAACGUCGAUUAGGUUAUCCUAACAUCCAUAAAAUUUAAAACAUCUCUUUCUUCCCACUCCCUCGAAAAGAAAUAACAACAUGCCGAUGGCCAACAUCAGCAAAUUUCAACCAUCAUAAAUCCAAUUUCUAUGACAGGGCUACAAUACUUAUGUGGACAGCUGAGAAGUGAAACCAGUAUUCACAUUGGCUUUGGGCCACAUCCAAAUGUCACAUGCAGAUCGCUGUGCUUUGGACUUCCCAGCCGCAGAAUUAUUAUGAAGGAAAGUGCCGAACCUUUCCGGUGAAGUCUUGUGAAAGUCCGGAGCACUGAUCAGCCCUUCCCUGAGAGCACUCUGGAGUUUCAACGCCAAAUCUCACUCACACUGACAUCACAAGACCCAUGGAUGUCAGUCAUUUUUUAGGGGAGGGGGGGAUCAAGGUUUCCCCGAUGAUCAAGAAGUUCUUCAGGUCUACCCUUGAUCUCAGAAUUGUUUGGUAAGGUCCUUGAGUAAGGUAACUCAUCUUAUUCCGUAAGUAAGAAGAUAAACAAGAAACGAAACAAAAUCUAGUCCAAAUACCAAUGUUUACAAUGUUUAAAAUUGAUUUGGAGUUGUUAGUUAAAUAAUACAAUAUGUGAUCACCAAUAUUCAAGAACAUGUACAUUUUACAUGGAAUGAACAUGUACAUGUAUACCGGUACAGUACACACAAGUCCCAUUAAUAAGUACAAUUAUACAAGUUAUUGUAUGCAAAUAUACAUUUCAUAUAUUUUUACACAAGAUUACAGCCCAUGACAAAACAAUUUCUGCUGGUAUUGCAUUGUGAAUGGCUUGUUAAGGAACUUCUCAAUCGUUGAACUUUCUCUCAGCAACACGUGCAGGCCUUAUAGCCUGGACAAUUCAUGGGAAUUCUCACAGACAGGGUUUAAUAUUUUGUUUCCGGCCAAUGAAAAAAAGUGUGCAUCCACAGUUCAAAUGUCGCCGUGAGUUAACAAUUGCACGGUUUGCGGCAUGAGCGUAUGUGUACUCCCUUGAAGUUUUGCCAAAACCCCAGGUACACGUCUUUUCCAAUUAUACCGGUGACCUCUGAAUGCCCCCAACAAGAGCCACUCAAAUGUUAGCCACGGGUGUCUUUUGAGCGCCUCUGAUAAGAUAAGAGUGUUUUGAAUUCCUUUUGCUGGCUAUGUGAAACAUUAUCCCCCAAAACCUUACGGGUAUUUUCCUCUCCAGUGCCAAACAUGAUCAUUACACAUGCUUCCUUUUUGGCUAAUCCUUGAUUUCCACACAAAUACGUGAUUCGCCUCUUCAAGAAUAGGAAAACGAUCAGUGUGUAUGUACUUUCAUAAACUGCAGAAAAUGAGGAGUAAAUCAGGAGCAAACCCUCUUGGUUACGUGUACGAUGUACGUGCAAGGCCAAAAUGUGCUUUUUUGUCUGUUACAUGUAGUUUAACUGCUUGGUUGAGCGUAAAUUAAAGUACGCACAUCCAAGCAAUAGCCAUUUUUUU
rnacentral:lncRNA from 1 species